GAAGAGAGGAUGCGUCUAAUCGAACAUGGAGAAGAACGAGGAUGUUUUCAAAUGGAUAGAUGAGCACACACAUGUGCUUAUCCGGUGGAGAGUGGCUAAUGAGGCCCUCUUCACCGGAAAACGAAAUGCAGCCAUCAAAGGCUUUGAAGCUUUUGUGAUGGAGCAGGGCCUGCAAGACAGGGUGACGGCGGCCUUUGUAAAAAAA